rnacentral:rRNA from 1 species
AGCGAAAUUCCUUGUCGGGUAAGUUCCGACCUGCACGAAUGGCAUAACGAUGGCCACACUGUCUCCUCCCGAGACUCAGUGAAGUUGAAAUGUUUGUGAUGAUGCAAUCUACCCGCGGCUAGACGGAAAGACCCCAUGAACCUUUACUGCAGCUUUGCAUUGAACUGUGAACCGAUUUGUGUAGGAUAGGUGGGAGGCAGAGAAGAGGCCACGCCAGUGGUCUUGGAGCCGACCUUGAAAUACCACCCUGAUUUGUUUGCGGUUCUAACCACGGACAGUGAUCCUGUCUUGGGACCGUGCAUGGUAGGCAGUUUGACUGGGGCGGUCUCCUCCUAAAGGGUAACGGAGGAGUACGAAGGUACGCUAGGUACGGUCGGAAAUCGUGCUGAUAGUGCAAUGGCAAAAGCGUGCUUGACUGCGAGAGCAACAACUCGAGCAGAUGCGAAAGCAGGUCAUAGUGAUCCGGUGGCUCUGAAUGGAAGGGCCAUCGCUCAACGGAUAAAAGGUACUCUGGGGAUAACAGGCUGAUACCGCCCAAGAGUUCAUAUCGACGGCGGUGUUUGGCACCUCGAUGUCGGCUCAUCGCAUCCUGGGGCUGUAGUCGGUCCCAAGGGUAUGGCUGUUCGCCAUUUAAAGAGGUACGUGAGCUGGGUUUAAAACGUCGUGAGACAGUUUGGUCCCUAUCUGCCGUGGGCGUUGGAAGAUUGACGGGGGCUGCUCCUAGUACGAGAGGACCGGAGUGGACGCACCUCUGGUGUACCGGUUGUCACGCCAGUGGCAUUGCCGGGUAGCUAAGUGCGGAAGAGAUAACCGCUGAAAGCAUCUAAGCGGGAAACUUGCCUGAAGAUGAGUCUUCCCGGAGGUUGAACCUCCCUCAAGAGUCGUCCGAGACCAGGACGUCGAUAGGUCAGGUGUGUAAGCGCUGUAAGGCGUUGAGCUAACUGAUACUAAUUGCUCGUGAGGCUUGAUCCU